rnacentral:misc_RNA from 1 species
GGAAGGAUCAUUAGCACAACCGUCCACUUGCCACCCUCUCCUCUCUCCCACCGUCCGCGGGGGGUUUGCGGGGGGAGGGUGUCGAGCACCGUGACAAGUUGAAGUACGUACCCCCGAUGCCUCAGGGCGGAGGGGCGUGCGAACCUUAGAACACCGUCGGAUACCGAUGCGCCUGAGCCGCCCGGUUCCCCUAGCGGGGCUCACCGGGUGGAGAUUCCAGUGCAAAAUUGGAAACAACUCCUAGCAACGGAUAUCUCGGCUCCCGCAACGAUGACGAGCGCAGCGAAAUGCGAUACGUAGUGUGAAUUGCAGAAUCCAGCGAACCAUCGAAGCCUUGAACGCACACUGCACCUGCAGGCGAACUGCAGGUACGCCUGUUCGAGCGUCGGCUCAACAUCACACCAAGCUCCCCUCCGAAGGGGGGUGCGAGGUGGUGGACAUGGGCAUCCGCCUCUCAGGAGGUGGUCGCCUCGAAUCACAGCACCGGUGCUGCAACUUGCCAGCCCUGCCACAGCCGCGAGGAAUCGAAAACCGACUGGCUGGAAAGGCGCAGGACGACGAAGGGAGGUUGCACGCACCCGGGUGGAUGCAGGAGGGGGAGCGUACGGCUCCCUUCCACCGAGGGUCGAACCUAAAAUCCUCGACCUCGAAUCAGGCGAGAUCACCCGCUGAACUUAAGCAUAUCAAUAAGCGGAGGAAAAGAAACUAACCAGGAUUCCCUCAGUAACUGCGAGUGAAGUGGGAAGAGCUCAAGCUCUUAAUCAGGGGCGGUCCACGUCCCCGAAUUGUAGCCUCGUGAACGGCUUCACGGGCAGGUCGCUGUGGCAGGAGUCCACUGGAACGUGGCGCCAGAGAGGGUGAGAGCCCCGUCCGCGGCCGCAGGGAGACGGCCUGUCGACACGUGCUGCCGAUUCGCAGAGUCGGAUCGUUUGAGAGUACAGUCCAAAGUGGGAGGUGAGCUCCUUCUAAAGCUAAAUAACGGUGGGAGACCGAUAGCGAACAAGUACCGUGAGGGAAAGAUGCAAAGAACUUUGAAAAGAGAGUUAAAAGUGCUUGAAAUUGCUUGGAGGGAAGCGAUCGGCAGCGGCACCUGCCCGCCGGUGGUUCAUCCCUGGGGUGCUGCCUGAGCCUGCGACGUGAGCGGUCCUAGAGGCCGUCGCGUCGCGGGCGCUAGGAGGCACGCUGGGGAGCACUCCAUCGGUGGGCGAGUCAGCAUCGGUGGGGGAGGUUGCAGGAGACCCUGGGUAAGGUGACCCCGCCGUAGGCCCCGAGCCUGCGGUGGGGGGCAAUGACCCGGGAGUCGGCAGCCUCCAUCCCACCGAGGGAUCAACCGGCGCCUUCUUGGCGGGGUAAGCGGGGGGACGGGCUCUCCGGACGUGGGGAACAGCUUGCUGUGCCCUGCGAUCCGGGGGGUCCGCACCCUCCGCACCUCCUGCCGGUUAGAGAUGCUGACCGGAUGCUGCCGAACGUCCCGUCUUGAAACACGGACCAAGGAGUCUAACACGUGCGCGAGCGAUUGGGUUGCAAACCCAGACACGCAGCGAAGGCGAGAGGUGGGAGGCCGUUCAAGGUCUGCACCACCGACCGAUCCCGAGGUUCACCGAGGGACUCGAGUGGGAGCGUACGCGUUGGGACCCGAAAGAUUGCGAACUAUGCCUGUGUAGGGUGAAGCCAGGCGAAAGUCUGGUGGAGGCUCGUAGCGAUACUGACGUGCAAAUCGUUCGUCAAACAUGGGUAUAGCGGCGAAAGACUAAUCGAGCAGUCUAGUAGCUGGUUUCCUC